CCUACGGGAGGCAGCAGUGGGGAAUAUUGCACAAUGGGGGAAACCCUGAUGCAGCGACGCCGCGUGAGUGAAGAAGGAUUUAGGUAUGUAAAGCUCUAUCAGCAGGGAAGAAAAAAGAGGGAACCGGACGAAGAAGCAACGGCUAACUACGUGCCAGAAGCCGCGGUAAUACGUAGGGGGCAAGCGUUAUCCGGAUUUACUGGGUGUAACGGGAGCGUAGACGGUAGUGCAAGUCUGAAGUGAAGGCCCAGGGCUUAACCCUGGUACUGCUUUUGAAACUGUUAGACUAGAGUGCUGGAGGGGUAAGUGGAAUUCCUAGUGUAGCGGUGACAUGCUUAGAUAUUAGGCGGAACACCAGUGGCGACGGCGGCUUCCUGGACAUUUUCUGACGUUGAGGCUC
rnacentral:rRNA from 1 species